rnacentral:rRNA from 1 species
GCUUACCAUGCAGUCGAACGAUGAAACCGCUUCGGUGGUGGAUUAGUGGCGAACGGGUGAGUAACACGUGGGCAAUCUGCCCUUCACUCUGGGACAAGCCCUGGAAACGGGGUCUAAUACCGGAUAAUACUCCUGCCUGCAUGGGUGGGGGUUGAAAGCUCCGGCGGUGAAGGAUGAGCCCGCGGCCUAUCAGCUUGUUGGUGGGGUAAUGGCCUACCAAGGCGACGACGGGUAGCCGGCCUGAGAGGGCGACCGGCCACACUGGGACUGAGACACGGCCCAGACUCCUACGGGAGGCAGCAGUGGGGAAUAUUGCACAAUGGGCGAAAGCCUGAUGCAGCGACGCCGCGUGAGGGAUGACGGCCUUCGGGUUGUAAACCUCUUUCAGCAGGGAAGAAGCGCAAGUGACGGUACCUGCAGAAGAAGCGCCGGCUAACUACGUGCCAGCAGCCGCGGUAAUACGUAGGGCGCAAGCGUUGUCCGGAAUUAUUGGGCGUAAAGAGCUCGUAGGCGGCUUGUCACGUCGGAUGUGAAAGCCCGGGGCUUAACCCCGGGUCUGCAUUCGAUACGGGCUAGCUAGAGUGUGGUAGGGGAGAUCGGAAUUCCUGGUGUAGCGGUGAAAUGCGCAGAUAUCAGGAGGAACACCGGUGGCGAAGGCGGAUCUCUGGGCCAUUACUGACGCUGAGGAGCGAAAGCGUGGGGAGCGAACAGGAUUAGAUACCCUGGUAGUCCACGCCGUAAACGUUGGGAACUAGGUGUUGGCGACAUUCCACGUCGUCGGUGCCGCAGCUAACGCA